UGUAUGCCUGAAGUGGCCGGUUGGGCCUGU
rnacentral:sRNA from 1 species